rnacentral:lncRNA from 1 species
CACUUCUUACCAUCACUGCCCUACCGCUAUUGCUUUGUCUCUUCUCUAUUUCACUGUCGCCAGCCACCAAUACCAGGUAACACAAAUGAUAUCUCUCUCUAACACUCAUAUAUAAAUAUGUAUAUAAAAUCUUGCGGAGUUUAGAUGGGAGAGCGAUCUGGGUAAAUGAUGCUGAAGAUAGAUCCAAGCGCAUCUAUGAGCCUUUCAAAUUUUUGAUUUAGGUAUUUCCUUUUUGCAUUUGCUGUAUGUUUUGAGUACCGACUUGCAAAUUUCUUAUAAGAUAAUAUGUUUACUGAUGUUUUUCAUUUGAUUUGCUUUGUGGGAGCGUUAGAUUGGUGCUCGGUAUCUAAGCAACUAUCUUUCUUUUUAUUUCUUUACUGUUUCUUUUAUGGCAUAAUCUGUGUUUCUUACUCCAUUUCACAUAUUGAAGAACUAAAAACAGGAUGUUGCAAUUUUACUUUUUGUACAAUGAAAUAGAGUGAGACGAACUGAAGAUUCAACAACUUUUCUUUUAGUUUGAUGCCGGGAUACUAAUCAAGUUAAUUCAUUAUUAAGAUCGAACAAUUAUUUGAUGCUACCUUGUUAGGAAGAGUAAUCAGAGACUUGAAGAAAAACGUAGAAUAGUUUGUUGAGACACUUAUGAUAGGUCGUGUUGGCUACUUACUGCCACUCGAAUUUUACUACCACUGAGCAUUUUAUCUUUUCGUGCUUAGAAAAAAUUCUAGUCUCUCUAGUGUGCUUUGGACAAAUUUAUACAUAUAGGAGAUUAUUGAGUCCUAGAAAGACACUUCACGAAAAGCUAAAUAUAUUUAACAAGUAAGCACUGUACUGUAUAGUGAUUCAAAGAAAACUCUAUAGUAUAUUAGAUAAAGAUCAGAUAUAUCAUGAGUUUAUAGGAGAGGUAGAGUAUUUGUGAUAUAUGGCUUGUUCAAGGCACCUUUAUGCAGAAAAUAAACAAUCAAUGGAAGGGUAAAGUGUUUGAGGUUUUUAUGUAGAUUUACUGUUUGUCUAGUUUCUCAAGGUUCAUGCUUUUUUGCACGGAGUUUGUUUUCUUGAGAAAGAUUUUGACAACUGUUACUUUGGUGAAAAUUUGGAUAUUAGUCAUUCUCCUUUUUUUUCCUAUUAAAUGUGUUAAAUUAGACCAAAUUGCAUUCAAGUCACAUAUGAUCUUGUCAUAAGAACUUAAAUUUCCCUUUGAUAUGAAUACAGCCAUACUAAUACCUUAUUGCCUAUUUAUUUGUAGGCUCGAAUUAAAAAGAUUAUGCAAGUCGAUGAGGAUGUGCGGAUGAUUAAUGCCAUGGUUGUCCCUCUUUUAGUCUUUAAGUGCUAUUGAAAAGUCACUUAGUUUAGUGAACUAAGUUAACAUCUUUUAGUUUGUAUUAUCGUAUAUGAAGUAGGAUUUAAAGAAAUAUUGGUAGAUUAUGCUCAGCUCGCGUUAAGGAG